rfam:Stegodyphus mimosarum contig116994, whole genome shotgun sequence.
GGUUUCGUGGUGUAGUGGUCAGCACGCUCGACGCGUAAUCGACAGAUCCGUGGUUCGAUUCCCGGCGAAGGCG